GAGACAGGUGGUGCAUGGCUGUCGUCAGCUCGUGUCGUGAGAUGUUGGGUUAAGUCCCGCAACGAGCGCAACCCUUGUCAUUAGUUGCCAUCAUUAAGUUGGGCACUCUAAUGAGACUGCCGGUGACAAACCGGAGGAAGGUGGGGAUGACGUCAAGUCAUCAUGCCCCUUAUGACCUGGGCUACACACGUGCUACAAUGGACGGUACAACGAGAAGCGAACCUGCGAAGGCAAGCGGAUCUCUUAAAGCCGUUCUCAGUUCGGACUGUAGGCUGCAACUCGCCUACACGAAGCUGGAAUCGCUAGUAAUCGCGGAUCAGCACGCCGCGGUGAAUACGUUCCCGGGCCUUGUACACACCGCCCGUCACACCAUGAGAGUCUGUAACACCCAAAGCCGGUGAGAUAACCUUUAUAGGAGUCAGCCGUCUAAGGUAGGACAGAUGAUUAGGGUGAAGUCGUAACAAGGUAGCCGUAGGAGAACCUGCGGCUGGAUCACCUC
rnacentral:rRNA from 1 species